UAAGCCUAUUAUUAAAUUAAAAGCUGAAAGAAAGCUUUUGAGAAAAUAAAGUUUAUAGAAGCCCGAGUUAACGGGACUUAAAAUAAACUUAGUCGUAGAUUCCCCAAACCCACUAAUUUAACUAGGAAUGUUUAACCUAGUUAAGAAGUGGAAAUAUUGUUAGAAAUAAGUAGGUUGUGGCCUACUUAAUAACUAACUAAACAAGAGGGACCAAAUUCGGAUAACUUGAAAGUUGUAUUAUAAAGAAAAGAAAUAACAAAUUAAAACACACAAGGUGUGUGUUCUGGGUGUUCUGAUCGAGCCCAGGAAACUCCCAAGAGCUUCAAAACCCUAGUUCUUGCUAAAUCAUCAAAUUGAAGGGCCAAAUGACUCCCAAAUUCACAAAUGAACGUGAAUUAAUGAUCACCCAAUCUAGGGGAUCAUAAGUUUGACGCUUGACGAGCUAGGUGAAAGCUUGGGAAGAAAGCGGGUCAAACGAAUCAGGAAUGAAUGAAAAGCAUAAUUUGGAUGCUAGGUUUAAUGUACGGUACCGAAAGAUGAUCAAGCUCAACGAAGAACCGAACACGAUCAAGAAUCAAGCUUCCGCGAAUUGUUUCGUCGUCAUGUUUUAAACGGCGAAUUUACAUACAAAACGUUAGAAUGUU
rnacentral:lncRNA from 1 species